GAAUCUAUGUGGAAUGAAAAUGGAUUGAGGAGACGGAAGCAACAUUCUAGAGGAAAAUCAAAAAAAAAAAUCGGAAACAUCAUAUUUGUCUUAUGCGAUGUUUUGAAGAAUACUAACUCCCCCUGAUUUCUACCGUGUGCCUUUAAAGAGAUGUUGAGAGAGCGAGAUAGUGUGCGAGAGGGACUUCGUGGUAGUGAAAACACGCUUUAAUGAUACAUUU
ensembl:ncRNA B0348.9 ncRNA